CUCUCGUGCGCGGCAGCAGAAUGAAGAUGUCACUUGUGACAAACUGGCUACUGUUGUGAGCACUCGGCCCAUCACUUACACUGUCAGUGUGUUUGUUUAUAUACAUCCAUGUUCUUGUGAACUCGGGAAUGCCUGGAAUCUGAGAUCUACAGCCACCCUGAGACUUCAGUCAUAAACCGUGAAGCCUCGAAGAGCGUGACUCCAUCCUAACAAUAAUCCUGUUUUCACUCAGCGUGCAGAUGAAAACCUCUCCCACAGGGCCAAC
rnacentral:lncRNA from 1 species